rnacentral:tRNA from 1 species
UCCCUGGUGGCUCAGAUGGUAAAGCAUCUGCCUGCAAUGCGGGAGACCCGGGUUCGAUCCCUGGGUCGGGAA